rnacentral:tRNA from 1 species
GCCUGGCUGGCUCAGUUGGUAGAGCAUGUGACUCUUGAUCUUAGGGUUGUGAGUUCAAGCCCCAUGUUGGGCC